rnacentral:rRNA from 1 species
GACGAACGCUGGCGGCGUGCUUAACACAUGCAAGUCGAGCGGUAAGGCCCUUUCGGGGUACGACGAGCGGCGAACGGUGAGUAACACGUGGGUGACCUGCCCUCAGCUCUGGGAUAAGCCUGGGAAACCGGGUCCUAAUACUGGAUAUGACUCCAUGACGCAUGUUGUGGGGUGGAAAGCCUUGUGCGGCUGAGGAUGGGCCCGACGGCCUAUCAGCUUGUUGGUGGGGUGAGGCCUACCAAGGCGACGACGGGUAGCCGGCCUGAGA